UAAGGACGUCAACUACCAUGACAAUGGCAGCUCCAACUACCAAAACAACAGCAGCUCCAACUACCAAAACAACAGCAGCUCCAACCAACAAAACAACAGCAGCUCCAACUACCAAUACAACAGCAGCUCCAACUAACAAAACAACAGCAGCUCCAACUACUGUGACAACGAGACAUCCAACGACCAGCAGAGGCACAGCGGUCAAAGCGUCUCUGUUGGGCUCUUUGGCGCCACUGCUCUUCUGCACACUAUGCCGCUGAGGGAAAUAGCGCCCCCCUCUGGUGAUCAUGAAAUACAUUGGUGAAAUUCGUGAAGUAAUAAUGCUGGCGCUUCAGAAAACAAUGUUGUUUUGAAAUCACAAUGUUCCCCUUUAAUACAUGAUUCCUUGAAGUAAACAGAGUGAUUAGUUAUUAGAUGUAUUUCAAACAUUUAUCAUGAUUAUUAUUCUUAUUAGUUAUUUUGCACACCUGGACUCAUCACUAUUAAUGUUCAACAAAUGAUGGCAUAUUACACAUGUUUGAGUUGAGUGGUAACUUUCUCUAUUAAAAGGAUUGAAUACCUGGUGGCAGGUGCAGGCUGUGAUAGUCAUGGUAGCAAUACUAAUGCCUACAAAUUAUCUUUAUUUAUCUUACAUGUAGAUCAUGCAUUAAGAUAAUUGUUAUGAUCCAACAAUUUCAUUGCAUCACAAGGCAUCUGGAUGGGAAAUGAGAUAACAAUAAAAGUGCAUUUGUAGCAAUUAUUCAGAAACACAUUCAGCGAUCACAGAGUAUUGUUAUUUGUGAUAAGAAUUAUAAUCAAGUGAAUGGCAAAUAUUAAGUAGCCAAUGAGCCAUAAGAAUCUUUACUAUCUGACAACUAGUCCAAAAUGAUUGCUGACCAAUGCACUCAAAAUUAAAUAAAUUAAUAUAUUGUGAAAUUACAAAUGUAUAAAUAUAAUAAAUAAGUAUUGUUCACUAUAUUUCAUAAGCAUAUCAUAUUUAAUUUAAUAAUCUUGUAAUGGGCUGUGAGGUUGGACCAAAGAACAGCACAGACCGAGACCAGCGUUGGAACAAUACAUUUUUCCAAAAUGGUCUAUUUCAUAAAGCUUGAUUUUAUACUGUGAAAUGUGCAGAGCACCAAACCAUUAAAAAACGAAAAAAUAAUCUCAAGUACCCUGACCUUUGAGGUUAUUCAUUGAUAGUUAAUAGUUUGUUUGAAUCAAGACCAAAAAAGCACUCAAACCCUUCUGCUUAUCAAAUGUCAAAAAAAAUAAGGAAAAAGGUUGAGAUUUCAGUGGGCGUGGCUCAGAGACUAAGAACCUUAAGGCUGUG
ensembl:lncRNA